AAUUUUAUAGUUUAAAGAGAACAUGAGGUUGCAAAUCUCACAGUAGUUGAUACUUAAAGUUU
rnacentral:tRNA from 1 species